AGCUCCAAUAGCGUAUAUUAAAGUUGUUGCAGUUAAAAAGCUCGUAGUUGGAUUUGUGGCGGAACUUGUGGUCCAUUUUGGUACCCUCAGAGCCUGCCAUCUUUCAGAGGAGCUUGUCUGGCAUUAGGUUGUUGGGCAAGGGUUGCUGAUCGUUUACUGUGAAAAAAUUAGAGUGUUCCAAACAGGCGUUUGCCGUUGAAUAUAUUAGCAUGGAAUAAUGAGAUAGGACUUGGGUACUAUUUUGUUGGUUUGCGCAACCAAGUAAUGAUUAACAGGGAUAGUUGGGGGUAUUCGUAUUCCAUUGUCAGAGGUGAAAUUCUUGGAUUCUUGGAAGACGAACUACAGCGAAAGCAUUUACCAAGGAUGUUUUCA
rnacentral:rRNA from 1 species